UUAUCGAAGCACUGCCAUCUCAAUUGCGGGACAAAACAAAGUAAGUAGGCCGUUUUGAAGACCGGCGGCGCCCUUUGCCACAGCUGUGGCCCCGCACUGCCUCGGCCCCCAGUCCACCACGGAGGCGCUCUACGCAGACUGUUCAUCAACAAAGCAGAUCAUCGCUGAAACUGAGCUACCGGCAACACCAUCGUCCUAAAGCCAGUCGAGCAGUCAAUGCGGUGCCUAGUUUCCGUGGAGCCAGCGCUGCCCUGGCCAAUCACACAGAUGUCGACAAGGUAGCCUUCACCGGAUCAACGGAUGUAGAAAGCCUCUGUAGAAGCCUCUGCUUCAACAUGGGCCAGUGCUGCUAUGCCGGCUCUCGCACCUAGAAGAGGACCGUGGGCACUGCCUUGGAUCUGAACACCGAGCAGGGUCCCCAGGUCAAUCCGGAGCAGAUGGAUAAGAUCCUUGGAAUGAUCCAGCAGGGCAAGCAGCAGGGCGCCAAGCUGGUGGCCGGUGGUAGCCGUCCCGAAGGACUUCCCGGCCCCUUUGUCCAGCCAACGGUGUGGACAAUCUGGACUAGGCCAACUAAAUUUUCAGUGGCCUGCGUGCCGGCACUACAAUGCCCUGACUGCCCAGGCUCCUUUCGGACAAUACAACAACAUAGUUGAACAAAAAAUUCCUCGCCAAUCUGGUACGGUGGCAAGAAGCAGAAUCGUCCUAGAAGAUAAGGGCGGAAUGUGUUUCUCAUUAGACGGAAUUCCUCAUUCAGUAAUCCGACUCUAUAAUGCAAUAAAACAUCCACAGAGCAUCCUGCUGCCACUUUAGGCAAUCAUUUUUAUAGCGUUCCCCGCCUUUCCGGCGAUCAUUCGUCAUUCUUUCCCAACCAAACAUUUAUAUCUUAAACUCACUAAAAACAUUACGUUUCUCCAAUCAUUCGCAGUCCAAGUUUCGUUGAGUUUGGACCACUUUCUGGAUCAAAGUGCCAAAAGUGGGCCACAUUUCACUGUCCGCGACUGUUCGAUGGAUAAGCGCGCACUAUUUGAAUUGAGAAUUCCUCCGAGACAAGACACCAACUAAUUUGGAUUUCCUUGUAUAAAUAAAUAAUCAAAUAAAA